CCUCUUUUGGAUGCUCCUGCUAUGGGAGAGGAGACCUAGUAGGUUACUGGUGACCACUUUUCCAACGGAAGUCUCUAAUUCUACCUGCCAGAUCACUAGGAAUAAGAUUCAGCACAUGUCCAAAUGCUGAAAAUGUGGUUGAUUUUAUACCUGUAUGUCUCUGAAAUCAAACAAACAACAUUUUCAUAACUGGGAGCUAAAGAAAAAAUGUGUUGUCCUGAAGUCUGAGUUCUCAAUGUAUUGAAGGAAGUGUGCAAAGAGUGGUGAAAAAUAUGGACGGAGCAAUUUCUAAUGGAAAACAGAACACAGUUUUAUGGUGCUCUUCCCUGGAAUUUAGUUGUCAUCCAACUGUUUCCCAUGAACAAUAACAGUCCAGAUAUAUCCACCUGGUAGCAAUGGGCACAGCUUUAGAGUUUGUUUUUUUUUUAAGCGUAUAUGAACCUGAAAACAUACUUUCUACUGGGAGACAAGCUGUUUGGUGAAGAACUCCCACUCUUUCCUCUGCUUUGAUUUAAAAUUUCUCUUUUCAUUUACUAACAUACUUAUGGAAAUAAUUUGCAAACAUAUUGUAUCUUUUAAGUUUGAGAUAUUAUGCCAUUUGUUCUUAUGCAGACUCCUAAGUGAAGGCAUUGUGGGGGUCCUGCUUAAACAGUGGAUGUGAAGAAAGCUUCAUGUAUUUCAUGGGUUGGUGGGUAGGGGCUGUGCUACAGCAUUUCACCUCCUGCUUGUUGAACAAUUGUGCAUUAACUUUUCACUUUUCAUUUGAAAAAAACCAGCAAAAAGUUGAGUGUAGCAGCCUUAGUCACAGAGAUUGUGAUAUAAAAAUAACUUCCAGACCUAAACCAAUGCAUUAUCUGAGGGAAGCUGAAAUAAACUGUUGGUGUGAACAACGCCAUCUAUUUUAACCGAUUGCUAAUUCAGAAGCAAACACUAAAUUGGGAAG